ACUAUCCCCGCUAUCCCCACUAUCCCCGCUAUCCCCACUAUCCCCGCUAUCCCCACUAUCCCCGCUAUCCCCACUAUCCCCGCUAUCCCCACUAUCCCCGCUAUCCCCACUAUCCCCGCUAUCCCCACUAUCCCCGCUAUCCCCACUAUCCCCGCUAUCCCCACUAUCCCCGCUAUCCCCACUAUCCCCGCUAUCCCCACUAUCCCCGCUAUCCCCACUAUCCCCGCUAUCCCCACUAUCCCCGCUAUCCCCACUAUCCCCGCUAUCGGAAUGGAGACAAGGAACAGGGACAGGGGACAAGGUAUAAGGAUGAGGGGACAGGGACGGGGACAGGGAUAGAGGACAAGGGAGAGGGGACAAGAAUGGAGACAAGGAACAGGGACAGGGGACAGGGAUAAGGAUGAGGGAACAGGGAUGAGAAGAGGGGACAGGAACGGGAAUGGGGACAGGGACAAGGGUUAGGAGACAGGGACGAGGACAGGGGGAAGGGACAGGGAUUGGGAACAGGGAUAAGGGGACAGGGACGAGGACAGGGGACAGGGAUAGGAGUGGGGAACAGGAAUGGGGGACAGGGACAAGGACAGGAAACAUGGCGAAGGGACAGGGACGGGGACAGAAAACAGCGACAGGAACGGGGGACAGUGACGGGUACGGACCCCUCUGCCCCUCCCGCCCCGGGAGAUCCCAAACCCGUCCCCGCGCUGCCGGGGGGACGCAGCAGCUCCAAGGUCGCCGGGGUGUCCCCAGGGGUGUCCCCCACUCACGUAGUUGGUUGUCCACCAGGACUUGAGGCGCAGGUAGCGCUGCAGCCGCGGCGCCGUCUGCUCCUGGAACUCCCGGGCCAGCGCCGCCAUCUCGGCGAACUUGUCAUCGUCCAGCAGCGGCCGCACCGACUCCAGGUACUGCGGGGACGCGGGGACACGGGGACAGCCUGCCGCUGCCGCCUCAGUGCCACUGUCACCGCCACGGUCACCUCAUUGCCACUGCCACCUCACUGCCACCUCAUUGCCACCUCACUGCCACUGUCACCUCACUGCCGCCUCAGUGCCACUGUCACCGCCACGGUCACCUCAUUGCCACCGCCACCUCACUGCCACCGCCACUGUCACCUCACUGCCACCGCCACUGUCACCUCACUGCCGCCUCAUUGCCACCGCCACCGCCACUACCACUGCCGUCACCUCAUUGCCACUGCCACCUCACUGCCACCUCAUUGCCACUGUCACCUCACUGCCACCGCCACUGUCACCUCACUGCCGCCUCAGUGCCACUGUCACCGCCACGGUCACCUCAUUGCCACUGCCACCUCACUGCCACCUCAUUGCCACUGUCACCUCACUGCCACCGCCACUGUCACCUCACUGCCGCCUCAGUGCCACUGUCACCGCCACGGUCACCUCAUUGCCACUGCCACCUCACUGCCACCUCAUUGCCACUGUCACCUCACUGCCACCGCCACUGUCACCUCACUGCCGCCUCAUUGCCACCGCCACCGUCACUACCACUGCCAUCUCACCGUCACCCCUGUGUCACCCCUGUGUCACUCACUGCCACCUCAUUGUCACCUCAGUGCCACUGCCGCCGUCACUACCACUGCCACCUCGCUGCCACCCCACUGCCACUCACUGCCACUGUCACCUCACUGCCGCCCCAUUGCCACUGCCACCUCACUGUCAUCCCACUGCCAUUGCCACUGUCACUACCACUGCCACCUCACUGCCACCUCACUGUCAUCCCACUGCCAUUGCCACUGUCACUGCCACCCCACUGCCACCUCACUGUCACCGCCAUUGCCAUCCCAGUGUCACCGCCACCACCACUGUCACCUCAGUGCCACCGUCACCACCACGGUCACUGUCACCUCACUGCCCCCAGGGCCACCCCAGUGCCACUGUCACCUCACUGCCAUACCAGUGCCACUGCCAUCACUACUGCCACCCUACUGUCACUGCCACCCCAGUGCCACCGUCACUGUCACCACCACCAUCACUGCCACUGCCACCUCACUGUCGCCCGACUGCCACCCUAAGGCCACUGCCACUGUCACCUCACUAUCAUCCCACUGCCACUGUCACCACCACUGAGACCUCACUGCCACCCCACCGCCACUGUCACCCCAGUGCCACCCCAGUGCCACCCAGUGCCACCCAGUGCCCCCAGCCCCGCGGGGCGCCGUACCCGGGCGAUGGUGGCUUUCACGGGGGGCACGGGCAGCUUGGGAAGGGAGCUCUGGAAGCUGUACAGGAGGGGCUUGCGGAUGGACACGAUCUUCAUCAGCGCCUGCAGCAGCAGGAGGAGGAGGAGGAGGAGGAGGAGGAGGGAUGGGGUGAGGAGCUGUGGCUCACACGGAUCCCAAAGAACUCCAGAUACCCAAAGCUCCCAGGGCUCCCAAAGAACUCCCAAAGCACUCAGGGCCCCCAAAAAUCCCUGGGCUCCCACGACAUCCAAAAUCCUCACGUCUCCACAUCUCCCCAGCUCCCACGCCUGCACAUCCCCCAUGCUUCCCACUUCUCUCACAUCUCCCCAUCUUCCCCAUCUCCCACAUUUCCACAUCUCCCCCAUCUCCCCCGUCCCCCCAUUUCCACACCUCCACAUUUCCCACAUCUCCCCAUCUCCCCCAUCCCCUCCAUCUCCCCAUCUCCUCCAUUUCCUGCAUCUCCAUAUCUCCAUCUCUCACAUCUCCCCCAUUUCCCCAUCCCCUCCAUCUCCCCAUCUCCAUAUCUCCAUCUCCCCCAUUCUCAUAUCUCCACCUCCCACAUGUCCCACAUCUCCAUCUCCCCCACGUCCCCACGUCCCCGCGCUCACGAUCCAGAGGCGGGUGCUGCGGCUCAUGUGCCCGUGCGGCUCGAACAUCCAGCCGUGGUAGGAGAGCAGCAGGCGCAGCAGCCUGCGGAACAGCAGCACGGCCGCCCCACGCCCCGGUGGAGAACAGCACCGUGCUGACCACGCUCUGCGCCCGGGGGCUCAGCGCCUCGCUGGGGACACGCGUGGGGAGCGGCGUCAGGGGGGGCGCGUCCCCGCGCUGUGCCCGGGCGGGGGUCCCUGGGGAUGGCCCCGAGUGGGGCUGUGAAGUCACCGUGUCACCGGGGGGUGGCACAGCCGGGGGGUGGGACACUGUCACCGCGGGGGUGGCACAGCCGGGGAC
rnacentral:lncRNA from 12 species